rnacentral:rRNA from 1 species
AUUGAACGCUGGCGGCAGGCCUAACACAUGCAAGUCGAACGAGUGGCGGACGGGUGAGUAAUGUCUGGGAACCUGCCCGAUGGAGGGGGAUAACUACUGUAAACGGUAGCUAAUACCGCAUACCAUCGGAUGUGCCCACGUGGGAUUAGCUAGUUGGUGGGGUAACGGCUCACCUAGGCGACGAUCCCUAGCUGGUCUGAGAGGAUGACCAGCCACACGGGAACUGAGACACGGUCCAGACUCCUACGGGAGGCAGCAGUGGGGAAUAUUGCACAAUGGGCGCAAGCCGGAUGCAGCAAUGCCGCGUGAAUGAAGAAGGCGUUCGGGUUGUAAAGUACUGUCAGCGAGGAGGCGUUACUCGCAGAAGAAGCACCGGCUAACUCCGUGCCAGCAGCCGCGGUAAUAC